rnacentral:rRNA from 1 species
UACGAAGGGGGCUAGCGUUGCUCGGAAUCACUGGGCGUAAAGGGUGCGUAGGCGGGUCUUUAAGUCAGGGGUGAAAUCCUGGAGCUCAACUCCAGAACUGCCUUUGAUACUGAAGAUCUUGAGUUCGGGAGAGGUGAGUGGAACUGCGAGUGUAGAGGUGAAAAUUCGUAGAUAUUCGCAAGAACACCAGUGGCGAAGGCGGCUCACUGGCCCGAUACUGACGCUGAGGCACGAAAAGCGUGGGGAGCAAACAGGGA